rnacentral:rRNA from 1 species
AGAGUUUGAUCCUGGCUCAGGACGAACGCUGGCGGCGUGCUUAACACAUGCAAGUCAAGGGGGCCCGUAGCAAUACGGGCAACCGGCGAACGGGUGCGUAACACGUGAGCAACUUGCCGAUCUGCGGGGGAUAGCCGGCCCAACGGCCGGGUAAUACCGCAUACGUUCUCGAGAGGGAGUCCUCUUGGGAGGAAACCUUUAUUGGGCAGAUCGAGGGGCUCGCGGCCUAUCAGCUAGUUGGCGGGGUAAUGGCCCACCAAGGCACCGACGGGUAGCUGGUCUGAGAGGAUGGCCAGCCACAUUGGGACUGAGAAACGGCCCAGACUCCUACGGGAGGCAGCAGUGGGGAAUCUUGCGCAAUGGCCGAAAGGCUGACGCAGCGACGCCGCGUGUGGGAGGACGCCCUUCGGGGUGUAAACCACUGUUGCCCGGGACGAACACCCUCUUUCGAGAGGGCUGACGGUACCGGGUGAGGAAGCACCGGCUAACUCCGUGCCAGCAGCCGCGGUAAUAC